rnacentral:rRNA from 1 species
CAGCUGUAAACGAUGCGCGUUAGGUGUAUCGGUGACCACGAGUCACCGAGGUGCCGAAGAGAAAUCGUGAAACGUGCCGCCUGGGAAACCGUGAAACGUGCCGCCUGGGAAGUACGGUCGCAAGGCUGAAACUUAAAGGAAUUGGCGGGGGAGCACCACAACAGGUGGAGCCUGCGGUUUAAUUGGACUCAACGCCGAGAAGCUCACCGGAUAAGACGGCGGAAUGAUUGCCGGGCUGAAGACUCUGCAUGACUAGCUGAGAGGUGUGCAUGGCGUAGACGUCU